UACGUAGGGGCGAGCGUUAUCCGGAAUUAUUGGGCGUAAAGAGUACGUAGGCGGGAGCUUAAGCACAGGGUUUAAGGCAAUGGCUUAACCACUGUAUGCCUUGUGAACUGGGCUUCUUGAGUGCAGGAGGGGAAAGCGGAAUUCCUAGUGUAGCGGUGAAAUGCGUAGAUAUUAGGAGGAACACCAGUGGCGAAGGCGGCUUUCUGGACUGUAACUGACGCUGAGGCGCGAAAGCGUGGGGAGCAAACAGGAUUAGAUACCCUGGUAGUCCCUGA
rnacentral:rRNA from 1 species